rnacentral:misc_RNA from 1 species
UGUUUAUUAUAUUACUGUACAGAAUAUGAUGUAAAGAAAUUAUCUUCUACGGAAAUAGAAGGUGGUGGCUUAAUUUGUUUCGAUACCGGAGAUCCGUCUGAAGACGAGGCACAAGGGGUUCUGGUGGGAGUAACUUCCCUUAUCAAUGUUGGUCUGCCGACAUUGCAUAAUAGAGUUGGCAUAUAUCACAAAUGGAUCACCGACAAUAGCCCAGAACAUACCCAAAACCUAUAUAUUCAACAACUUUUUUUAAUAAUAGUUAUUUUUUAUUUGAAGUAAAUAAAACGAAAUGAAAAUAGCA